rnacentral:rRNA from 1 species
UACAGAGGGGGCAAGCGUUGUUCGGAAUUACUGGGCGUAAAGGGCGCGUAGGCGGCCCGCUAAGUCGAACGUGAAAUCCCCAGGCUUAACCUGGGAACUGCGUCCGAUACUGGCAGGCUUGAAUCCGGGAGAGGGAUGUGGAAUUCCAGGUGUAGCGGUGAAAUGCGUAGAUAUCUGGAGGAACACCGGUGGCGAAGGCGGCAUCCUGGACCGGCAUUGACGCUGAGGCGCGAAAGCUAGGGGAGCAAACGGG